AGGGGCGUCGCCAAGUGGUAAGGCAGCAGCGGGUUUUGAUCCCGCCAUCCGUUGGUUCGAAUCCAGCCGCCCCUGCCA
rnacentral:tRNA from 1 species